rnacentral:rRNA from 1 species
CAGCAGCCGCGGUAAUACAGAGGGUGCGAGCGUUAAUCGGAUUUACUGGGCGUAAAGCGUGCGUAGGCGGCUUCUUAAGUCGGAUGUGAAAUCCCUGAGCUUAACUUAGGAAUUGCAUUCGAUACUGGGAAGCUAGAGUAUGGGAGAGGAUGGUAGAAUUCCAGGUGUAGCGGUGAAAUGCGUAGAGAUCUGGAGGAACACCGAUGGCGAAGGCAGCCAUCUGGCCUAAUACUGACGCUGAGGUACGAAAGCAUGGGGAGCAAACAGGAUUAGAUACCCCAGUAGUCCCUGUCUCUUAUAC